GCGCCGGUGGCGGAACUGGCAGACGCGCCGGCUUUAGGAGCCGGUGUCUUAGGACGUGUGGGUUCGAGUCCCACCCGGCGCACCA
rnacentral:tRNA from 1 species